rnacentral:rRNA from 1 species
AGAGUUUGAUCCUGGCUCAGAUUGAACGCUGGCGGCAGGCCUAACACAUGCAAGUCGAGCGGAUGAGUGGAGCUUGCUCCAUGAUUCAGCGGCGGACGGGUGAGUAAUGCCUAGGAAUCUGCCUGGUAGUGGGGGACAACGUUUCGAAAGGAACGCUAAUACCGCAUACGUCCUACGGGAGAAGGUGGGGGAUCUUCGGACCUCACGCUAUCAGAUGAGCCUAGGUCGGAUUAGCUAGUUGGCGAGGUAAAGGCUCACCAAGGCGACGAUCCGUAACUGGUCUGAGAGGAUGAUCAGUCACACUGGAACUGAGACACGGUCCAGACUCCUACGGGAGGCAGCAGUGGGGAAUAUUGGACAAUGGGCGAAAGCCUGAUCCAGCCAUGCCGCGUGUGUGAAGAAGGUCUUCGGAUUGUAAAGCACUUUAAGUUGGGAGGAAGGGCAGUAAGCUAAUACCUUGCUGUUUUGACGUUACCGACAGAAUAAGCACCGGCUAACUUCGUGCCAGCAGCCGCGGUAAUA